CCUACGGGUGGCAGCAGUCGAGAAUCAUUCACAAUGGGGGAAACCCUGAUGGGGCGACGCCGCGUGGGGGAAUGAAGGUCUGCGGAUUGUAAACCCCGGUCAUGGGGGAGCAAAGUAAAAAGAUAGUACCACAAGAGGAAGAGACGGCUACCUCUGGGCCAGCAGCCGCGGUAAUACAGAGGUCUCAAGCGUUGUUCGGAAUCACUGGGCGUAAAGCGUGCGUAGGCGGUUUCGUAAGUCGUGUGUGAAAGACGCGGGCUCCACCCGCGGACGGCACCUGAUACUGCGAGACUAGAGUAAUGGACGGGGAACCGGCCUUCUCGUUGUAGCCGU
rnacentral:rRNA from 1 species